rnacentral:rRNA from 1 species
UAACGAAUAUUCCGCAAUGCGCGAGAGCGUGACGGAGCAAUGCCGCGUGAAGGAUGAAGCACCUCGGUGUGUAAACUUCUGUCAGGGUUUAGGAAACAAAUGACCAUACCCAAAGGAAGAGCCGGCUAACUCUGUGCCAGCAGCCGCGGUAAUAUAGAGGGCUCAAGCGUUAAUCAGAAUCACUGGGCUUAAAGGGUGCGCAGGCGGACCCGUCAGUGUCUUGUGAAAUCCCACGGCUCAGCCGUGGAACUGCAGGGCAUACUGCGGGUCUUGAACUCGGCAGGGGCAACCGGAACUCUAGGUGGAGCGGUGAAAUGCGUAGAUAUCUAGAGGAACGCCAAAGGCGAAGGCAGGUUGCUGGGCCGAUGUUGACGCUCAGGCACGAAAGCGUGGGUAGCGAACGGGAUUAGAUACCCCGGUAGUCCACGCCCUAAACGAUGUGUACUAGAUCGAGGAGGUUUUGACGCCAUCUCGGUCGGAGCAAAAGUAUUAAGUACACCACCUGGGGAGUACGGUCGCAAGGCUA